GACGAACCGUGCGAACGUUGUUCGGAAUUACUGGGCGUAAAGGGCUCGUAGGUGGCCAACUAAGUCAGACGUGAAAUCCCUCGGCUUAACCGGGGAACUGCGUCUGAUACUGGUUGGCUUGAGUGUGGGAGAGGGAUGCGGAAUUCCAGGUGUAGCGGUGAAAUGCGUAGAUAUCUGGAGGAACACCGGUGGCGAAGGCGGCCACCUGGACGGUAACUGACGCUGAGACGCGAAAGCGUGGGGAGCAAACAGG
rnacentral:rRNA from 1 species